rnacentral:rRNA from 1 species
AAAGGGGGGCAACCCCCGAGUAGAGUGGCGAACGGGUGAGUAAUACAUCGGAACGUGCCCAGUAGCGGGGGAUAACCUCUCGAAAGAGAGGCUAAUACCGCAUACGUCCUACGGGAGAAAGAGGGGGAUCGCAAGACCUCUCACUAUUGGAGCGGCCGAUGUCGGAUUAGCUAGUUGGCGGGGUAAUGGCCCACCAAGGCUACGAUCCGUAGCUGGUCUGAGAGGACGACCAGCCACACUGGAACUGAGACACGGUCCAGACUCCUACGGGAGGCAGCAGUGGGGAAUUUUGGACAAUGGGCGCAAGCCUGAUCCAGCCAUGCCGCGUGGGUGAAGAAGGCCUUCGGGUUGUAAAGCCCUUUCGGCUGGGACGAAAAGGUCCGCGCUAACACCGCGGAUCCAUGACGGUACCAGCAGAAGAAGCACCGGCUAACUACGUGCCAGCAGCCGCGGUAAUACGUAGGGUGCAGGCGUUAAUCGGAAUUACUGGGCGUAAAGCGUGCGCAGGCGGUCUCUUAAGACAGGUGUGAAAUCCCCGAGCUUAACUUGGGAACUGCGCUUGUAACUGAGAGGCUAGAGUGUGGCAGAGGGGGGUGGAAUUCCACGUGUAGCAGUGAAAUGCGUAGAGAUGUGGAGGAACACCGAUGGCGAAGGCAGCCCCCUGGGCUAACACUGACGCUCAUGCACGAAAGCGUGGGGAGCAAACAGGAUUAGAUACCCUGGUAGUCCACGCCCUAAACUAUGUCAACUGGUUGCCGGGGAAGCAAUUCCUUGGUAACGAAGCUAACGCGUGAAGUUGACCGCCUGGGGAGUAC